AAUAGAUACCCCGGUAGUCCACGCCGUAAACGAUGAGUGCUAAGUGUUAGAGGGUUUCCGCCCUUUAGUGCUGCAGCUAACGCAUUAAGCACUCUGCCUGGGGAGUACGGCCGCAAGGCUGAAACUCAAAGGAAUUGACGGGGGCCCGCACAAGCGGUGGAGCAUGUGGUUUAAUUCGAAGCAACGCGAAGAACCUUACCAGGUCUUGACAUCCUUUGCUAACCCUAGAGAUAGGGCAUUCCCCUUCGGGGGACAGAGUGACAGGUGGUGCAUGGUUGUCGUCAGCUCGUGUCGUGAGAUGUUGGGUUAAGUCCCGCAACGAGCGCAACCCUUGAUCUUAGUUGCCAGCAUUCAGUUGGGCACUCUAAGGUGACUGCCGGUGAUAAACCGGAGGAAGGUGGGGAUGACGUCAAAUCAUCAUGCCCCUUAUGACCUGGGCUACACACGUGCUACAAUGGAUGGUACAAAGAGCUGCGAACCCGCGAGGGUAAGCGAAUCUCAUAAAGCCAUUCUCAGUUCGGAUUGUAGG
rnacentral:rRNA from 1 species